rnacentral:lncRNA from 1 species
GGUUAUUUCUUGAUUAAACUUUGUCCACGUGCAUUUUCCAAGGUGAGAUUGAAUGUCUGAGCAUGUGCAACAUCCCCCCUUGCAAAAAAAUAUAAAAUGAAAUAAAAAUACUCUGAUGGUUAGGUCACCAAUGAUUGGACACAGUUUGAUUAUGAGCAAAGAGGUACCAGAACUCAAAAACUAAACAAUAACAAGCUUGUACAUCAUGGUUAUACAUCUUUAUGAUUCCAGCAAGCCUUUUCUUUGAAUGUCAAAAUGUUUAACAUAUGCUUUGAUCAUGUGCAAAUGUUGUUACUGUUUCCUGCUUUCAGACCAAAUCUGGUAGAUUUCUUUUCCCUUCAGCUCCUCCAGUUUCUAGUGCCGUUCCAGCUGCCCAACCCAGCCGUGGGCCAGCUUUCUACCAGAACGUGAAAGCGCCAAUUAUAAAGCCCAGUAUUCCUCCACCACCAGUUCCGACGGCUAAGCCACCAGCUUCAUCUUCAGCCACAGGCAACGCAACAUCAGCAAUGAAGCCAGUUCUUCCUCUACCACAUUUGAAAAGUAAACAUACCUCUCCACCUCCACCUCCACCCCAGGCACUGAAGCCUCCAAGUAAUCCCAGAAUAUGAAACAAGGGAAGAACUGUUCUCCAAUUAGAGAAAUAGCUUUUUUCCCCAUGGAUCCUACAGCUGUGAAGGAAACAUUUUAAAUGUCUUGUAUGGGUCUAGCAAUCUCUUUGCAAAAGGAAUUGCGGAGCUAGUUUUGGCUGCUGCCAUCCUGAAUAACUGUUUCUUGGGAAGAAAACUGAAGAUUGCCUCUUUGUCACACUUUGAGUACCAUAUAUCCAUGUGGUACAAUUAUGAUUUGGGUAAUCCUGUUAGAACUGGAAUGGUUGGUGGCUGUGAACUGCUUAAAGUAAUUUUAAGCAUCUUGAAACUCCUUGUGUAACAAGAGUUCCCAUCUGUAUCAAUCAGUUGUCACUGUUGCCUGUGAUGAGUUCUGUGUUUUAGAAGAUUCCUGAAAUCCAAUUGUGAUGAAAAGGAUCUGGAGGCUGACUGGUUAUUUUAUUUCCUUGGCAUACCUGAGCCUUGAGAGAUGCCUCAAAGCAAUAUGGACAGUUUAACAUAGGCAUCUUGAACCUGCUCCCCACUUCCAGCAUUCUACGAGCCAUUACUUUCUCAGGAAGCCCAAAAGGAAAGCUCACACUCCAAACAGUAGUGCUUUGGUUAC